GUGAGUCAUCGAAUCUUUGAACGCACAUUGCGCCCGCCAGUAUUCUGGCGGGCAUGCCUGUCCGAGCGUCAUUUCAACCCUCGAACCCCUCCGGGGGGUCGGCGUUGGGGACUUCGGGAACCCCUAAGACGGGAUCCCGGCCCCGAAAUACAGUGGCGGUCUCGCCGCAGCCUCUCAUGCGCAGUAGUUUGCACAACUCGCACCGGGAGCGCGGCGCGUCCACGUCCGUAAAACACCCAACUUCUGAAAUGUUGACCUCGGAUCAGGUAGGAAUACCCGCUGAACUUAAGCAUAUCAAUAAGCGGAGGA
rnacentral:misc_RNA from 1 species